rnacentral:rRNA from 1 species
GACGGAGGGUGCAAGCGUUGUUCGGAUUGACUGGGCGUAAAGGGCGUGUAGGCGGUCGGCCAAGUCUGAUGUGAAAGCCCGAGGCUCAGCCUCGGAAGUGCGUCGGAAACUAGUCGGCUGGAGCGCGAUAGAGGAGGGUGGAAUUCCUGGUGUAGCGGUGAAAUGCGUAGGUAUCAGGAGGAACACCGGCGGCGAAGGCGGCCCUCUGGAUCGUUGCUGACGCUGAUACGCGAAAGCGUGGGGAGCAAACAGG